ACAGAGGGUGCAAGCGUUAAUCGGAAUUACUGGGCGUAAAGCGCGCGUAGGCCGUCGAGUAAGUCGGAUGUGAAAUCCCCGGGCUUAACCUGGGAAUUGCAUUCGAUACUGCUUGGCUAGAGUGUGGAAGAGGGAAGCGGAAUUUCCGGUGUAGCGGUGAAAUGCGUAGAUAUCGGAAGGAACACCAGUGGCGAAGGCGGCUUCCUGGUCCAACACUGACGCUGAGGCGCGAAAGCGUGGGGAGCGAACAGGAUUAGAUACCCUGGUAGUCCACGCUGUAAACGAUGAGAACUAGAUGUUGGGGGGUAUAACCCCUCAGUGUCGCAGCUAACGCGUUAAGUUCUCCGCCUGGGGAGUACGGCCGCAAGGUUG
rnacentral:rRNA from 1 species